AACGAACGCUGGCGGCAUGCCUAACACAUGCAAGUCGAACGAGACCUUCGGGUCUAGUGGCGCACGGGUGCGUAACGCGUGGGAACCUGCCCUUAGGUUCGGAAUAACUCCCCGAAAGGGGUGCUAAUACCGGAUAAUGUCUUCGGACCAAAGAUUUAUCGCCUUUGGAUGGGCCCGCGUUGGAUUAGCUAGUUGGUAGGGUAAAAGCCUACCAAGGCGACGAUCCAUAGCUGGCCUGAGAGGAUGAUCAGCCACACUGGGACUGAGACACGGCCCAGACUCCUACGGGAGGCAGCAGUGGGGAAUAUUGGACAAUGGGCGAAAGCCUGAUCCAGCAAUGCCGCGUGAGUUAUGAAGGCCUUAGGGUUGUAAAGCUCUUUUACCCGGGAUGAUAAUGACAGUACCGGGAGAAUAAGCUCCGGCUAACUCCGUG
rnacentral:rRNA from 1 species